CUCUGCAAGCCUCUUAAUGGUGAUGGAAAGAAGAGGCAGGGAUGAAAAUUUGGCUUGCUGAUAGAGCCUACAACAUGCACUUUAUUAAGUUGCUGCUUUAGGAAAGGAAGCUUUUCCUUGAGCCCUGUAUGUCGCCAUUACAUUGCCAACACUAAAUUAUUUUUUUUCUUUUCAGUGUUCCACUUUCAUGCAUAUUUUCCUCCUUUCUGGGUGAUAGAGGAUUCAUAGGCCAUCUGGAUUCUGAAACAUCUGGACACUGAAUUUCUGCAGAGGAGAAUCAGAGGAAAGAGACGAUCAGUGGUACUGGGUGUCUCCGGAGAGAUUUAAAUCAACGAUGAUAUUUUGGUUGCUCCCUUUGGAACAUUAACACAAAAAGUGAAAGGAAAAAACAACACAUCACAGGAACCCAGUGUUCUAAGAACACCAAGAGUGUAUAAGAAGGUAGGACUUUUAAUAUGAAUUUAAGUCAAUAACUGGAUACAUCUCUAUAUGUGAUGUCAUUUCUAAAAUUUCCCCCUAUUUUUUCCAUUGUUAUGCAUUUUGGAUUUAAUGUAGUUAGAUAUACUUUUAACACUGCUGGGUGUAGAUGGCGCAUCCUUUGAACCCAUUUUACUUUAAGCCAUGUAUAAUUCAAUUCAAUAAACCCUUAUUUAUCAAGUUUUAUAUGUAAAGUCACAAAACUACCAUACUAAAAAUGCUGAGAUGUUCAGCUUGGUAGAGAGACUAGUCGUGAGCACCUCUUGGGUAAAUCAAGAAGAGUUACAUUUCUAAGAUACACAGAAGAAGAUUAGAACAAAGAGAUAAACAGUGUUUCCUAGGACAGUGGGAGCUGUAAACUUCUGGAACCAAAAAUCAAGAACCAAGGUGAUAAUAUAUGAAUGAGAUAGGGUCUCAGAUCUUUAGAACGUUCAAAUGGUCUCUUACAAGCUCAGCUUUAGGUAUGCAUGUGUAUACGUGUGUGUGUAAGGAUCUGCAACAGGCUUAGAGGCUGCUCUGGAAAUGCUCAGGGGACCACCUAUUCUAGGCCAUCAAUCUUGGUGUUAUACCAUACAUAACAUGAGUGCAUGGUUUCCAUACAGUCUAGCCAACCCCAAGCAAGUGUUUACCUAUCACCCUCAGGCUUUCCCCACUAAUGUAGCCGGGUCCACUCCCUUCCCUGAACUUGAGCUUCAGAACCAGAACAAGGGCCAGUUGCUCAGACUGCUCAGCGAAUCUCAGGAAGCAGCCCUUAGACCAGUAGUAAAGCUUCUCCUUUGUGCAAAGGCACUAGAUUCAGCUGUCAGGAAGUAUGCGGAGAUGUAUAGAUCCUGUGAUUUAUUCCCCACACUGUUAAAAAUUUUUUUUCUUCUACUAUAUUUUCUCUGGUAAAUAUGUGGGUUCUUAAUUGAUAGAUUUUCUUUGCUGAAAAAACUGAAAUUGCUACAAAGCACUCUUUAAAGGACAUGAGUUUGAAGCAACUAAUCUUCCACAACUUCAGGCAGAUUUCCUGAACUAUGUGAUGCUUUGCCAUACUUAAAAAAAAAAACCUGUUUUAAGACAUGCCAGUUUAAGUUGAUUUCUAGGAAUCCAGAACAGUUCAAAAGAAAAAGAAUUCAACAGCAAAAUUUUAGUAACUAUUUUUUUAAUUAGGCAUGUCUACAUUUAAAUACAAUAACUCUCUGAAAUAAGGGACUACAGACAUAUUCUCUGUUCUCUGCAAGUCCACUGUGCCCUCAAUUUCCUCUAACUGCAUCUUUGGUGAGCCCCACAAUGAAGUACAAUAUUAGAUGUUCACUUGUAUGAUAUCAACCUUGUAUGAAGAGGAUGAAUAAAAAAUGAAGUUCUUAGCUGUGAUCUAUUUCAGAUUAGCCAUUUUCAUUUAUAAAACUGUUUAUUUUACUUUGUCAGCUUGAAGGUCAAUCCAACUUCAAAUUGCACCUUGUAGAAUUUCAACAAAGAUAUGAGGCCCAUCUCUGCUUCCUUUAAGACUAAAGGGGGAAAGCUGAGUCUUAACACGGGUAUUAGGCAGAGCUUUAUGAAAUGGACCAGAUCAACACUGAUAGAAAACUCGCAAAGACACUCUACUUUGAAGUCAAAACAUCAGGGCCCGGACAAGGUGGCAGAUGGCAUCAGGAUUAACAAGCAUUAAUUGUGGACAUUAACCCACAGCAAGCUAUAAGCACAAGUUCAAAGGAACACUUGUCACGCACUAAGGGAGGAAUAAACCACAAAAAAUUAUAACAGCUAUCAUUUUACGUACAGUGUAUCAGGGACUAUUCUGUGCAUUUAAAAUUUUUUUUAAUGUUUACUUUUGAGAGAGAGAGAGAGAGAGAGAGAGAGAAUCCAAUGCAGAGAAUCCACGCUGUCAGUGCAGAGCCUACAUGGGGCUCGAACCCACAAACCCUGAGAUCAUGACCGAGCCAAAAUCAAGAGUCAGACGCUCAACGAACUGAGCCACCCAGGUGCCCCUAUUCUGUGCAUUUUUAAAAUUUUUUUAACAUUUAUUUAUUUUUGAGAGAGACACACACAGAGUAUGAGGGGGGUGGGCAGAGAGAGAGAGGGAGGAGACGCAGAAUGUGAAGCAGACUCCAGGCUCUGAGCUGUCAGCACAGAGCCGGAUGCAGGGCUUGAACCCACGAGCCGAGCCGUGAGAUCAUUACCUGAGCCAAAGCUAGACGCUUAACUGACUGAGUCACCCAAGCACCCCAUUCUGUGCAUUUUAGAACGAUCAUCUCACAUCUCCACACUAAGUCUUUCAGGUAGGUACUGCUGUUAUCCCAUUGUACAGAUGAUGAAGCUGAGGGACAUGUAGGUUAAGAACCUUGACCAAGAUCACACAAGCCAAGUACAUGAAGAAACAAGGACUCAAAAACCCAGGCAGAAAGACUCUGAUACUCGUAUUCUGAAUGAGAAUGGUAUGUGUAUAUGCAGUGUGAAGAACACUAUGAAGGACACAACCCAGUAUGCUCAGAUACUGAUGUACAUGAAAGCAGGCCCAGUCCCUCCUACAUAGUACCAUAAACUCUUACAUCAUCACACUUUACUAUAAUGAUGCAUUUCACGCCUGCCCCACAUGAUUGUAAGCUUCACUUAGAGACCAUGUCCGUUUUCUUCACAUUAUAAGGUCAGUGCCUAGCAUAUCACCUUGUCACACUGUAGCCGUUUGAUUAAUAUUUGUAGACUAAAUAUUCAAUAAUUAGAUCUAUUGAAUAUUUAUUGAAAUAUGAUUUCUUGUGAGUCACUGUCCCUUCCUUAAAGAGGCUAUAAAUAAGGCCACAGAAGGGUGCCUGUGUUGCUCAAUAGUUUAAGCAUCUGACUUCGGCUCAGGUCAUGAUCUCACAGUCCAAGGGUUCGAGCCCCGCAUCGGACUCUGUGCUGACAGCUCAGAGCCUGGAGCCUGCUUCGGAUUCUGUGUCUCCCUCUCUCUCUGCCCCUCCCCCUCCCAAAAGUAAAUAAACAUUAAAAAAAUUUUAAUAAGGCCACAGAGUCCAAUAAAAAGAACAUGAAAUUCAGACACAAAUAACUUAGGUUCUGAUCUGAACACCACAACAUCCGCAGUGCUGUGGUCUUGGACAAACCACUAAACCUCUGAAAUCUCAAUUUUAUCAUCUGACCAGGAAGCACAGUAAAAAUACGUUUCUUAAGCAAGUUUGGGGUGUCCUACAAACUAUCAUUAUGAUAACGACAGGUUCUUCUAUUUGGUGAUGAAAUAUCUAAAAAGCCAAAUAUUUUUUAUGGAUUCUGGAAACAGGAACACAGAACAGGAAGUCAUAAAUACCAAAUGCUCACUUCACUGAAAAGACCCUGUAUCCUCAAACUUAACCUGAAUAGGCCUGGCUGCUUUUCUUGUAAUAUAUCCCAUCUUGGAACUUGUGCUAUAGGAAACAGCAGCCUGGGUACGCCUCUGGGAUUAAAGCAUUUCUUAAGUGAUUCAGAUCAUCAGAACUUCUGCCCCUUAAAAUGGGCUGGCUUUUUAAAAAAAAGUUUUAAGUACCUUGAAUUCUUUAUCCAGAGCUUAACUCCCCAGAGGCAUGUUAGGGCUUUUACUCAAGUAGAUCUUCUCAAUAUUCCAACCAUUCUUCCUGAAGAUACUGCUUCCUCUUAGGUUGGCUUUUUUUGGGAAGCAGUCUUUUGUCUUCAGUAAGGAAAAUAGUUUUGCUUUUUGCUUACAUAUUUUCCUUUUCCGAAAGGACCAAGCUCAGAAACUACUGUGAGAUAAAAUCAUAGAUGCACUAUUUCAUAUGGCCUGAACCCAGAUUUAUUUUUUUCUUUGAUGGGAAUUUUAGCAAUGCCCAUAAAAUAUAUGGCUUUCUUAAAUCAGUCAGUCACAAAAAGGAAGUAUGCCUGUAUUUGGCAAGUGAAUUUAAAAGUGGAUCCUCAUGUUGUAAUAAUCCCUUUAAAUUUUUUUUAAUGUUUAUUUAUUUUGGAGAGAGAGAGACAGAGUGUGAGUGGGGGAGGACAGAGAGAGAGGAAGACACAGAAUCUGAAGCAGGCUCCAGGCUCUGAGCUGUCAGCACAGAGCCCAACACGGGGCUCGAACUCACAAACUGCUAGAUCAUGACCUGAGCCAAAGCCGGACACUUAACCGACUGAGCCACCCAGGUGCCCCUGUAAAAUCUCUUUAUAAAUGGAGUUAGUUAUUAAAGUAAUUUUACCACUUUAACCUUACUUACACCGGUUUUAGCCCCAGCUGAAAACCACAACUUUUAAAAUAUUCUUUAAAACCAAAUUCCACUAUAACAAAAACUAUGAAUAAGUCUGUUAUUAAGUAUAAUAAAAGCUGACAUAUUUUUUAUGAUUAUAAGCAUUACUAAUAUAAAAACAGAUUUUAAAAUUGCAAACACAUCUCAAAAAGUGACCUAUCCAGGGGUUCUUGACUGUGGUCCAUUCAUAAAAGUAAGAAAGUCUUUGAAUUUGGAUAAAAACAAAAAUUUCACUUUUAUUUCCAGGUCUGAUUAAAAUGUUACAUUUCCUUUCAUUACAGAUGUUAGGAACCAGCCACAAUAGUAUUAGUAGUACCUGUGAUUUUGUCACCAAUAAAAAACACAAACAUUUUCCAAUUAUAUUAUAGUUACUGCAAAUAUUUCAAAAUAUCAUUUUUAUCCAUUACUAGAGCAUGUUAACUAAUUGUUAAUAAAAAAGAACCGUAUUUCUAGAUCACAGCAUUUUAAUAUUUUCUAACUGCGUUUCCGUAUAAUUAGAUUCCUUUGUAACCCUAUAUAAUUUACUUCAUGCAUUUAAACACUUUGUUCUGAGAGGGAGUCCAUACACAGGCUUUACCAAACUGCCAAAGGGCUCUUUGGCACCAAAAGAAGUUAUGAACCCCAAUUUUAAAAGCCCCAUAUUUAAAUAAUUUAGUGUAUACUAUGGACUGAAUUGUGUCCCCCCAAAAUUCACAUGCUGAAACCCUAACCCCUAAUGUGACUGUAUUUGGAGAUGGGGCCUUUACGGAAGUAACUGAGGUUAAAUGAGGUCAUAAGAGUAGAGCCUUGGUUCAAUAACAUUAAUAUCCUUAUAACAAGAGAUACCAGGGCUCACUCCUUCUCCCUGCUAGUGAGGACACAGCAAGAUGGUAGCCAUCUGCAAACCAGAAAGAGAGCUCUUACCAGAACGUCUCAUGCUGGCAGCCUAACCUUGGACUUCCAGCCUAGAGAACUGUGAGAAAACAAAUUUCUGUCAAGCCACCCAAUCUGUAAUAUUUUGUCAUGGCAGCCUGAGCUGACUGAUACAGAGUAACAUUAGCUAUAUCCUUUUUGAAGGCUUCCUUACCACUUUCUGUGGUUGCAAACUUGGGUGUUACUGGGGGAAUUCACCGUACUCCAUCAAGAUGCAAGCCUCAGAGCCAUUUUUAAGGGAAAAGUCCUAGAAGUUAUUUAAAUAGAUAUCCUAAAAAGGAGCCAAUCUAUUAGACAAUAAUACAUAACAUUUUUAGAUACAGCUCUGAUUUGUCUCAGAAGUAAAUGGCAAUUGCUACAACCGCUAUCAGAUUCCAGAUUCUACUUCCAUUGGCAACAUUAUUUUCCCAAGUCCCCUGUGCUCCAACUCCCUUCUGAGACACUCCACUGCUCCUUGGCAGGCCCCCACCUGCCCCACAGGAAACCCCACAAUUCACCCAAUUAGGUGGCUGGAUGUCCCCACUGCAGGUGGCUAAUUGUGAAAAGGAUUUUUGUUAAGGACCCGUCUUCCUACAUCAGCACUACAACCAACUUCAGAAAACACACCAUACCAUUUCUGGUUAACCUUAAAACAAUCACGUGAAAAUAAAGAGGACUGUCAGUAGAGCAAUUUUAUAAAUAGCUAAAAUUAAACAGAGCAAGACUGGCAGUGCUAAUGCAUAAGCAAAGAACUGACUUCCUGCAUUUCAUUGAGAAUUCCUGAUAGCAAACUGCAGUAUGUUUAUUAUACAUUAAUUCAACACAGCAUUCAAAAUGAAUUUAUGCCCUGGCUGAAGGGUGCGAUAUUGAAACUAAAUAUUAUUUAUUAUCUUAAUAUUAGUAACCAUACUAAAAAAAAAUGUGUUAACAAUUCAGAGUGUUUAAAAAGCUAAGGAUACCAUAGCUCUACUUACCAACCAACAGCUCUUGCCUUAAUUUAUGCAAGUGUAGCCCUAUAGCUAAAAGCUUUGUAUAUUUGUUUCCCCAUGGUAUUAGUGCUCAAAAAUAGGACACUCUUUCAAGGGCACCUUAUAAACACAGAACUAUAAUUUAUUUGGCAAAUUAAAGCUCAUAUAAAAUGUGCACACAGAGGUACAGAUUAACAUAUUUAAUUUCAAUAUUACCUGCAAACCUAUUUUUUCCCAUACACUGUUCUAAUUAGUCAUAUAAAAUCGAGUCUGUGUAUUAUAAGCAAUUAUUUUAGUGGAAAUAGAACUGGAUCUGAAUUAAAUAUACUGUAAAAAGAUAACACUUUUAUGGAAAUUAAUAUAUCCAUUUGUAUCUAGAAAAAUGUGUUCUAGUUAAAUGGCAAGAGAAUGUUGAGCAUUCCAAACCUGAUUGCGAUAAAAGUUGAGUUUUUUUAUGAUUUAAUAAUACAGAAUAAUAUGCAAUCUUGGCAUUAUACCAAUAUUUAUAUUUUGAUGAUAUUUCCAAGUUUCCAAAUCCCCAGUAACCAUUAGAUUCAUUUUUGUAGUGGAAUUUUUCCUAUUAGCAAUAUUAACUCCCCCUACAGUUGAACAUGCAAAUUGUUUGCGAACAUUUUAUUUAGUAAUUGAGUCUUUUCCUAUUUAAGCCUGUCCUGGGAACUACAGUGUUGUAGGUACCAAGCUUCCAUUGCAUUAACAUAGUUGAAAAUAGACGUUAAUAAAGAAUUAUGCCUGCAGGUAAAUGGAAGCUAUAACUUUAGUGGCAGAGGCGUUAAGCUUUCUAAAAGUUGUCAUAAACGGACAUAAAGGCUUCACCACAUAAGGAGAUUUUUGAAAAGGACAAAUUAAAUUGAAGACACCUUGACCUAACACCGGGCAUGUGAGUGGAGAUGAUCUAAUGCUCCAGACUAUCAGCGGCUCAGAUAACCUCCCCAGAGAAAACUUCCCUAAACACCUGAUCUCAGAGGGCUCUCCUCUAGCCACACCCAUUACUUACCUCCCCAUCUGGUGUGUUACUUUCACAGGACAAAUCAAAGUUGUUCAUUUCCUUGUUUACUAUUUGUUUUCCCCAUUAAAAGAGACUCUGUAAGGAUAAAGGCCAAUCAAGCAUUUAGUGCUUCUCCUGGCACAAAGAGGAGCUUGAUUACCAUUUUUUGAAUGAAUGAAUGAAUGAAUGAGUGAAUGAAUGAAUGAACAAAUGAGUGAGCUAAUGAGAUAUUUCUUUAAAAUAUUUCUGUAAGAUUAUCUAGUAUUUGACUGUCAAGUAAUCUCAUAGUUCUUAAAAGGUCUUUAAGCUAUUCCCUUUGAUUCAGGAUUAGCUGCCCAUUGUAUUCACAAAAACAGGGGCUAGAAUUGUGUCCUUCCCCCUUUGAGUACCUUCCCAAGCAGAUGAGAAUCUGCCUUGCAAAUUUGCAAAUUACAAUGCAUCUUGUGUGAGGAGAACCCACAGAACUCCCUGAAUGAUACAUGAUUGUUUUUCAGCUACCCAUCCUGGCCCCAAGUAACUCUUCCUGCAAAAUGCCAAGUCCCUCUCCUGUCUCUCUAUGCUAACUAAGUCUCAUCACUCUCACCUCGUGAAUGGUUUCCUGGUUAGGGGCAGUUAAAACUAAGAAGUCCAACUAGCAAAGCACCCUAAGAUUCACCAUAGUCAACUAAUUUUGAACAUUGUCACCCUUUGGUCUGCCCAGCUUCUAAAGACUUUCAGAAAAGGCAAGCCCACAACAUUUAUUAUCAUGUGUUAUAAUGUCAAAACAUUCUUCCUCCGAUAUCCCUCAAUCCUUAGUAGAGGCUUUUCUUUUUCUUUUUGGAUUUUCAUUGUAGACAGACUAUAGCUUGUCACCACUCGUUAACCAUGCCCUGUUCUAACAUUACAGCAAAGGACAAACAGGUCUGGCCACCUGGUCUCUUCUGUAGCAUUCAUUAUUUUACAUGCCCAGUUCCAUUCUUCUUUCCAACUUAAAAAAAGGCUUCUGCAACUCUCAGUCUGGGUACACACCGCCAGCCAUACAAUACCUGGUUUCUAUGACUCCUCUCUAGCUUUUAUGAGGUUUUUACCUGUUUUUAAAAUAAAAUGACUGAAAAAUUAAAUAUUACUCACAAUCCCACCUUAUUUUGGUCUCAGUCAUUGUACCUCAAGAGCCUGUUUUGCAAUUCUGCCAUUCAUUCAUCCUGCUUUCUCCCCUUGUAUUUAAUACACAUUUUAAGCAGAAACUUCCAUUACCCUGUCCUUGAAGCCCUUCAUUAUUCACUUCUUUCCAGCUAAAAGAUCUUAAUUCAUUGCUUUAUAGUCUUUUUCUUCUUAGCAUUUUGAAUGGCUUCCCACUGUUCAUGAGUUCAAAAUCCUCACGUGGCCCCUUACGCAAUCUGGCUCCUACCUUCCCUUCAACUGCAUUUCACAUCACCCUCCCAUGGCACACCAUGUUCUUGCCCCACUUGCCCGUGCUCUGUUCAGUGUGCACCUGCCCCUGGCCGCCCCAGGUUGCCUGCUCAGACAAUUGCUCUGUCUUAGUUGGCUGACUCCUUCCUACUUCUCCUUCAGGUCUCCUUGAAAGCACCACUUUCUGGGGCAUCUGGGUGGCUAGUCGGUUGAGUGUUCGACUCGGGUCACGAUCCCAGGGUGGUGGGAUCAAGCUCUCACUUUGGGCUUGACACUGAGCCCCUGCUUAGGAUUCUCUCUCUCUCUCCCUCUGCCCCCCUCCCCCACUGGUACUUGUGCUCUCUGAAUGAAUGAAUGAAUGAAUGAAUGAAUUAGUGCCACUUUCUGUGGGAGGCUCACCCUGAGCUGACCGUCUUCCACCAGAGCCCCAUGAGGUUUUCCUUCAUAGAACUUUCUUAUUAUUGCAAUUAUAUCUUUAGCUCAUUAAGUAUGUGUUUAAUGCCUGAAGCAUGAAGACAGCCCUGGUCCUCUUGUCUCUCUCCAGCCUCACAGCUUUGGCAGUCUCAUCCACCUCAGGGUUUUAAACACCAUCACCAUACUGACAAUUCCCAAAACCAGAUGCAGGCAUACACCCUCUUCAGAGUCCUUUCCCAAACUCCGGACUCUCGAAUCUAAUUUCCUACUUGGCAGUUGGCCUACAUAUACUUAAAGACAGUAUCAAACUUCACACAUCUACCUCUGAAUUCCAGCCUUCCGCCGAAAACCUGUUCUACCUGCAGCCUUCCCCCAUACCCAUUGAUGGCAACUCCACCCUUCCAGGCGCUCAGGUCAGAGAACCUUGGAGUCCUUCUUCACAUGCCCUUCUCUUUUACCUUCAUCCAAUCUCGGGAAAUCCUGUCAGCUAUUCCUUCAAAAUAUGUUCAAAUUGUAUCCAUUUCUCACUACUUCCCCAGGACCUUCCUGGGUCUGAGCCACCUCACCACUCUCCUGAAUUAGUGUGUGAGCCUCCUGGCUGGUCUGCCUGAGAACCUUGUCAUCCACACUCUGUUUCAACACAACAGCUGCGUGGAACUUCUAAAAUUCACGUGAGAUUGUGUCACUCUGUUGCUCAAACUCUUGCAAUAGCUCCCUACUUCCCUUUAAGGAAGAACCAAAGACAUUACAGUGGUCUGUAUUGUCUGUCUGACUUCAUUUCUUCAUUACUCUGCUUCAACCACACGAGCCAUUUUGCAUUUCCUCAGAGGGACAGGCACAUUCCUCCUAAGGAUCUGACUGGGCUCUCAUCUGGGAAUGCCCUUCACCCAGAUAUCCCCAUGGAUAAGCCCUCACGUCCUUCCAAAUUUAUUUUUCUUCUUCUAUACUAAUUAUCACCCUCUAACAUCCUAUUUAAUCUACUUGUUUUUUUACAUCUGUUAUUUUUUAUCAACAAGAGUAUCAAACAAGGGUUUUGGUUCUGAAGUCACGGGCUUUGUUGACUGAUACAUCGCAAGCAGCUGAAACACAGUAGGUUCUCAACUGUUUGUGAGAUGAAUAGAGAGGAACUUCCUAUACAAACUGGACUUACACGUGUUUCAAGGAUAAGAGAAACAGUGUGUGAGAGAGUGCUUUGUGGGCCCAGUCCUCUUUGAUGAAGACCUCAAUCUUUAUUCCUUCUACAGAAGUCUGCACCGUUGUCAAUGGUAUAUUUUUUCCCACAUAAUCUAUUUACAUAUACCUGUAACAAAUACACUAUUGUUUCAUGUGAGUUUUUAAAUAAUGAACAGCAUCAUACAACUGAAAAACAAAAACCCUUUGCAACAAGUAAGGUUCUAAGUGUGUGUGAGAUUAUUGUUAUUUGGGGGUGGGGAAUAAGGGACUCUCAAAACAAGUGAUGAAAUACAGAUUUUUGCAGUAACCCUGUACCUUAACUCCAGCAUGACCCUUGAAUAUCCCUCUUCUGAAAAUGGAGUGCCCUAUGAAAAUAGAAAUAAAUGCAAUUUCCUUAAGGUUAAGGCAAAGAUUGAGGAAAAUAAAAUUCACUUUUCUAAGAGAUGGUCUAUUUGGUUUGUUAUUCUCUGUGUGUUCUAAAGGAUUCUGGUGGGAUUUAUAUUCAAUUUCUGAAAAAAGUGCCGAGAGUUCUGGACUUAAACACAUCACAAAAGAUAUUUUCUCAGUUUUCUAAACAUUUGAUGCUUAAGUCUACUUCUAAUUCCUGACCUCAAAGUUGAUGUAACUUAUAAUUUACAUAAUAUAAAUUAUAUACAAUAUAUAUAAUUAUAAUCUAGCAUUUACUUGUGUCCGGAACAUUUGACUAUUUUUAGACUAACUUACUGCAUUAUUCAUCUUUAUUAUCCACAUAUAAUAAUCAGAUAACACUACCUUCAAUGGUCUCUUGAAUGAAAACCAUUAAUUGGUUCCUUUGAACUGCUUUUCCCCUACUGAAAGCUACUUAUUUACCUUAAAAGUAGAUUAUGCCACUUUCUCUUUUAAAGACCUUCUCCCAUUAUUAGUUUUUGUAACUUUGCCAAUUUUUGUAUAAUUUUUGCGGUCUCCGUCAAUAUUUUUAAAUUAAUUAUGAUUUCUAAACAAGUUAAAAUAGGCCUAGAAUAGGUUCAUUGUCGUUUAACCCAAUAAAUCUAGCAAGUAAAAUUGAAAGCCGGAGUCAAUGAAGCCACGUCGGGGUAUCAUUGCCAAUUUAGCUAUCAAAAGUAAUCCAUGAUGAUAGAGUUUAUUACAAAGUACAUUUAACACAUUAAUUAUUAAUCUACAGUGCAAAGCUUUUAACAAAAGUCUGUCCUUGAUUGCUUUGUUUUCCCAAGUAGUUAGAGUCUACAGUUUUGUAAUCUAAGACUAGUAUUUGGCGCCUUGAUCAAAUUCCCAAAGUUCUGUAAUGUCUCUUUUUAUUGCCAGUAAAUCCAGAUGGAAGUGGCUUUUAGUGUUGUGAUUGAGUGUGCGUUUAUUAAUGUUAUCUAUUAAGCACACACUGCACAUUGCCCAUGUAAGAACUUUCAGAAUCAUACUUGAUAAAUGUAUUAAGCAAGUCCAAAAGGUUUCAGAACAAAAUGAAGACUUUAGUAUGUAAAUUAAAACACUUUGUUGGCACUUAAAAAGCAUCUUGGACAUAAAGUUCUGACUCAUUAAUUAUAUAUUAGAGCAAAGCCUCUCAUCAAUAAAGUUUUUUAAACUAUAGGCACAAGUUCCCAAAAUGGACUUUAGCUGAAAUUCAAGGAGAAGGAGAGAAAGGAAGCCAAUCAGAAAAAUAGUAGCUCCUCACAGGGGAGGAAGGUUGGGAGGUCAGGGGACAGAUGUAAACUGAGCUGUGGGCAUCAUCUACUAUUUUGGAACAUUUCUGCGUGAAAAGACUAACAGAGAAUUGAUAGCGUCAACUCCCACAGAGUUGUCAAAAAAAUAACUUUUGCAGAGGCAGGUAUAUAUUCUCCAACUGUUGAUCCUUCCAUUAAAGACCCAGAAAAAGUCUCCCUGUUCCCACUUCCAAAACUUAACACAGAUUUUUUUAAAAAAGGAAAUCAUCAGUAGAUGGAGUAUUUAAAAUGUUUUACAUCCUCCAACCUUUCCUAAUAUUCUUUCCUUGAAUAAUUUUCCUUUAAAAAUCAAGUUGUUGGGGCACCUGGGUGGCUCAGUCAGGUAAGCAUCUGACUCUUGAUUUUGGCUCAGGUCAUGAUCUCACAGUCAUGAGAUCGAGCCCCACAUCAAGCUUCAUGCUGGGCGUGGAGCCUGCUUAAGAUUCUCUCUCUCCCUCUCUCUCUUUCUGCCUCUCUUUCUCUCAAAAAUAAAAAUAAAAUUAAAAUCGAGUUGUUCACUUAAAAAAACUAAAAAAAGAUACAGGUCAUUAUUGUUGCUGAGGUCCCAGAACAGAGGCCCGAGAUGUGCAUUUGUUGCAAAAUCAAACCCAUCUGGGGCUCUGUCUGAUAGGCAGUGGGACUGGAGAUCACCUCCCUCACCCCUUCAUCCCCCAGCGUGUAGAUGAGCUCAGAGGAGAACAGGACAGUGUAGGUGGAAGGUCAAGGAGGCACAGGGGUCAAGCUAAGUUCCAGCCUUAGGGCAGGGGCUAGAAAAGAGUGUGGCUUUAGAACAACACAGUGAAGAGCAACAGGAUGGUCCUCAACCUGCACCCCAUCCUUUCCCCUUGGGUCAAAGCCAAAAUCACAGAUAGAAGAAUCUUGUAUGUGAAAAGCAAUAUAGAACAAAGCCCUGUAUCACUCAGGUCUCUGUAAGCAUACAGCACACAUACCGAAUGUGCUUGGUGGCCUAACACCAGGGCUGACACAGGUGAGAAGAAGGUAUGCCUCCACGCUGACAGGGGCCAAGGAUCCCCAGCUGGGAGCAGUAAGAGAUCAUGUCGUAACAUUGGAGUGCAGGAGAUGCUCUUUCUUUACCUCUACCCCCGCCCAAAGACUUCCUGCAGUAAUCAGAAAGGAUUUGGGUCAGGAGGUAGAGAUUAAACCAAAAUUUACUUUUUGACUCCUCUUGGGACCCUAUCACACAGACUUGACUGUGACACCAUCUCUCCUUCCCCUGUGGAACCUGUCACGGCCUUGAACACCACCUAAGUGAGCGUUCAAAUCGAAAUGUGGAGUCCAAACAGAAUCCCCAUAGUCAAACCAACUAGCUCCCUCCAGAAAUUCCGUGCUCAGACAGUGAGAAAAAGGCAGGUGAAUGCACUUCUUACCUGCCUCUGUGAAGCAUUGCUGAGCUUGGCACCUACAGCAAGUCAUUUGCUUACAGUACACUUAUAGUAAAAGGUUGGGGUGACCAGUUGUUACAUCUCUCCCCAUCCUCUGCCGCUCAGUGUUUGAGUCUUUGCUACUAAUUGACAGUUUCUAGGUGAGGGAUCAUUCAUGUAAAAGAGUAAAGAUUUGUUACUUUACUUGCACUUUGUCAGCAGAACUCACUGCCAAAGUUUUAGGUCAGAAGAGCUCUGGGCAGCUGGAGGUGACCGCUCCAGCCAUCCCAGGAGUACAACUGGGGCCUCUUUUUAUUAUUAUUAUUAUUAUUGUAAAAGAGCACAGGAUAUGACAGUUGAACCAGUGCAUCACCACAAAGUGCAAGUGGAGUGACAGACAGAGUGACAGACAAAUUAAAGAGUAAGUUCUGUCUAGCAAUUUUGGGUGACAGCACUUAAAAUUUUUAGCUCUAGGAUUGUUUAGGAAUGACAGUAUGCAGCUGAGAAAGGCAGCCUACCCACUAUAAAAAGGAAUUUGUGUGCGAACUUAGAAAACGCAGCCCUCCAAACUGAAGAAAAAAAAAAAGUCUUUACGUAUGUUUUUAAAUAGUAACCCAUUAACCUUUUACACAGUCUUCAAAUCAUCUAAGGCCACAUGUCCUCAUUAGCCCAAUGUUUGGAUCAAGGCUUUCAGACAGAUUUUGUUUCACCACCCCUGUAGAAACCCCUAGAAAACGGAUUUCGCAUACAUGCGUUGUUGUCAUUGUUCUGACCAAUGAAUGGACUGUGCUAUCACAAACAUCAGCUUCUGACCAGAAAAAGGCAUCAUGGUAAAACGUCUUCUUGGUAAGGCGUUCACUGCACGAGAUGACAAAUCACACCAAAAUUUGCAAUGAUCUCCUUGGGAGUAGUACUAAAUAGGGAUAAGUACUCGUCACUCACUGAGUACUUACCAUCCACGGGAAAACUGUGCUAAGUACUUUGUACUCAUCCAUCUCUGACAUAUCUAAUGGACACUUAAGAAGUGUAUGUUGGCGAGGGGCGCCUGGGUGGCUCAGUUGGCUGAGCAUCUGAUUUCAGCUCAGGUCAUGAUCUCACUGUUUGUGGGUUCCAGCCCCACGUCAGGCUCUUUGCUGACAGCUCGGAGCCUGGAAGCCUGCUUCAGAUUCUGUGUCUCCCUCUCUCUCUGCCCCUCCCCCACUCACACUCUGUCUCUUUCAAAGAUAAAUAAACAUUAAAAAAAAAAUUUAAGAAGUGUGUGUUGGCGUGUUGGCAGGAACGAGGAAAGGAAGAGAGUUUUGGUGUAAUUUAAAACUUUUGGGGCGCCUGGGUGGCGCAGUCGGUUAAGCGUCCGACUUCAGCCAGGUCACGAUCUCGCGGUCUGUGAGUUCGAGCCCCGCGUCGGGCUCUGGGCUGAUGGCUCAGAGCCUGGAGCCUGUUUCCGAUUCUGUGUCUCCCUCUCUCUGCCCCUCCCCCGUUCAUGCUCUGUCUCUCUCUGUCCCAAAAAUAAAUAAACGUUGAAAAAAAAAAAAAAACUUUUACUGAGCAUUUACUCUUUUGUCAGUCAUUUUAAGAACCCGAAAAGCAAGCUGUUAAGCAGACAGCAUUAUUCCUUUUUUUCCACUGGAAUUUAUUGAAGCAGGUCCCACACCCAGCCAGAAACAUGCCUAAAUUGCCUUUUGAAUAUUUGCACUUGUGGCCUUCAAUCACAGGUAACCCGGCUGCCGACAACUAAGACUAAUAUCUCAGAAGUUAAAGGAAAUGACCCCAACUUUUCCUCACUUCACAGAAACUCUGAAACGGCUCCAGAUACCAUGAGCUCCUUACUUCUCCUUUGCUUUUUUCACUCUGAGGAUUUGAAGGCAAGCAGCACCCACCCCACCACCCAGGUGUGAACAACAGGAGAUUACUCAUAGAUGGUAUAAACAGAAGGUGAGUGCAAAGGUCCAGGCCGGGCCUCAGUUGUCAUCUAAACAGACACAUCAGCUACAAAGCUUGUCCAAACAUUCAUCACAAACAGGUUUCAGAACGCUUUAUAUGGAUCAGAGCCAGGUUUUUACCUUGUCGGUAUCCCAGAAAGAUGACCUAUCUCAGUGCAAUGAACUUUCAAAUAACAAUAAAAAUUAUUUGAUUAGAAGAAAGAACGGGGCGGGAGGGUGAGCCUCCUGUGACUCACACAGAGCCUGAGGAAGGUGGGAAGAGCUGGCCCCCUACAGAAUCCAUACCACACUGCAGAUUGAAUUCAACAAGCUAUUCAGGAUGAUUUUGUGACUAAGCAUGAAAUUGAAAUUACACCGUCUCCUGGGUCAGAGUGUUGUAAACACUUUUUCCUUCAUUAUUUCAGAAUUUUUUUUUAAUACUGGUGCUUUGUUAGAGCUCACAAAAUAACUAGUUUGUAAACUACAAGAAGAAAUGUAUGUCUUCUUAUUUCCAUUGUGUUGGAAGGACUUGGUAAGGAAUGUUAUUGUUAACUAUCACUUACCAUGUUGUCACUAUUAUUAUUAAUUAUUAUUACCAACCUAAAGCUCGUCCUCCACAACCACACACUUUGCACCUGCAAAACAAUAUAGACAAACAGCGAUUCAAAUAUAAUUUGUGUUUCUUCCUUUGUUGCCAACCCAGUCUGAUUCCAAAUGGUUUCUUUUUUUUUUAAUAUGAAAUUUAUUGUCAAAUUGGUUUCCAUAUAGCACCCAGUGAUCAUCCCAACAGGUGCCCUCCUAAAUGCCCAUCACCCACUUUCCCCUCCCUCUCCCUGCCCAUCAACCCUCAGUUUAUUCUCAGUUGUUUUUUUUUUAAUUUUUUUUUCAACGUUUAUUUAUUUUUGGGACAGAGAGAGACAGAGCAUGAACGGGGGAGGGGCAGAGAGAGAGGGAGACACAGAAUCAGAAACAGGCUCCAGGCUCUGAGCCAUCAGCCCAGAGCCUGACACGGGGCUCGAACUCACGGACCGCGAGAUCGUGACCUGGCUGAAGUCGGACGCUUAACCGACUGUGCCACCCAGGCGCCCCUAUUCUCAGUUUUUAAGAGUCUCUUAUGGUUUGCCUCCCUCCCUCUCUAACUUUUUUCCCCUUGCCCUCCCNAAAAAAAAAAUUAAAAAAAAAAAAGAAAAAAGAAGUUUAAAUUUAAACUUCUAGUUUAUCAUUUAAAAUCAUUUAAAAUCCUACAUAUCUAUAUGUAAAAAGCAUAGGCCAAAAAAUCCAUUUUUUUAAUAUGAAAUUUAUUGUCAAAUUGGUUUCCAUAUAGCACCCAGUGAUCAUCCCAACAGGUGCCCUCCUAAAUGCCCAUCACCCACUUUCCCCUCCCUCUCCCUGCCCAUCAACCCUCAGUUUAUUCUCAGUUGUUUUUUUUUUAAUUUUUUUUUCAACGUUUAUUUAUUUUUGGGACAGAGAGAGACAGAGCAUGAACGGGGGAGGGGCAGAGAGAGAGGGAGACACAGAAUCGGAAACAGGCUCCAGGCUCUGAGCCAUCAGCCCAGAGCCUGACACGGGGCUCGAACUCACGGACCGCGAGAUCGUGACCUGGCUGAAGUCGGACGCUUAACCGACUGUGCCACCCAGGCGCCCCUAUUCUCAGUUUUUAAGAGUCUCUUAUGGUUUGCCUCCCUCCCUCUCUAACUUUUUUCCCCUUGCCCUCCCCCAUGGUCUUCUGUUAAGUUUCUCAGGAUCCACAUAAGAGUGAAAACAUAUGGUAUCUGUCUUUCUCUGUAUGGCUUAUUUCACUUAGCAUAACACUCUCCAGUUCCAUCCACGUUGCUACAAAAGGCCAGAUUUCAUUCUUUCUCAUUGCUAAGUAGUAUUCCACUGUAUAUAUAAACCACAACUUCUUUAUCCAUUCAUCAGUUGAUGGACAUGUAGGCUCUUUCCAUAAUUUGGCUAUUGUUGAAAGUGCUGCUAUAAACACUAGGGUACAAGUGCCCCUAUGCAUCAGCACUCCUGUAGCCCUUGGGUAAAUUCCAACUGGUUUCUAUUCACCUCCUGACUCAUAGCCCAGACUUUCAUUUGCUGCUGAUUCCUAUCCUUUCAGGCUUGAUAUUAAAGGGGGGGAGGGGGAGGGUGAAACAUAAUUCUCUUAAAAAAUGCAUUUAAAACGUAUUUAAUACUUAUUCAAACGUUAAUUUUAAAACCCUGUGAAAAUUAUGGCUAGAGAUAAACUUUCUUAACCUGAGUAAUGACAUCAUUGUAAAGCUAGAGCAAUCAUAAUAUUUAAUGAUAAAAUUAUAGAUAACUCCCAUUUAAAUCACAAACAAAACAAGAUGCCCACCAUCCUAUUAUCACUGCUUCUAUACAAUAUUAUCAUGGGUGUUUUACAAUAAUAAGGUAAGAAGGUAAAAUAAAAUGUAUAAAAAUUAGGAAAGAUAAAACUGCUGUUUCCAUCCAACAUGACUAUCUAUAGAGUAUAUUCAAAAUUAUCUACAAACUUUUUAAACCAGUAACAGAGUUCAGCAAAGUGAUCAGACAGAUAAAAGUAAUUUAACCAGCUAACACAUAUUAUAUUCUUAUUGUGGGCCAAACACAGUUCUAGGUACUUUCCAUAUAUUAUUAACUAAUCCAUUAACUAAUCUAAUACAACAGCCCUCUGACAAUAAUACAAUUACUAUUUCCAAAGAAAACUGAUGUACAGAAAGAUUAAGGAACUUACUGUUAGAGGUUGAAUUGUGUUCCCCAGAAGACACGGUGAAGCCCUAACCCCUGGUACUUGUGAAUAUGACCCUAUUGAAAAUCAGAUCUUUGCAGAUGUAAUCGAUUUAAGAUGAUACCGUUAGGGUGGGUUCUAAUCCAACAUGAUUGAUGCCCUUUUAAGAAAAGGGAAUUGGGGCACAGACACGCACAGGGAGAUCAUUAUGUGACAACAAAGUCAGAGAGUGGAGGCAUGCAGUUGCAAACCAAGGAAUGCCAAAGAUGAUUCGCAACCAUCAGAAGCUAGGAAGAGGAAAGGAAGGAGUCCCCUGCAGUUUUCAGGGGGAACGUGACCCUGCCAACAGUUUGAUUUCAGACUUUUAGCCUCCAGAACUGUGAGAUAAUAAAUUUCUGUUGUUCUGAGCCACACAGAUUGUGGUACUUUGUUAGGGCUGCCCUACCAACCUAAUAAACUUGCCAAGAAUCACACAACUAGUAAAAUGACAAAGCUGGGACAUAAGAUCAGCAUACCAAAAUCAAUACACUCAACACCAGUAAAAACAAGUUAGAAAAUGUAAUGUAAAAACAGAUACUAUUUACAAUUACAUAAAAUACAAGGUGCCUUAAAAUAAAUAUAAUAAAAAAUGUUUAGGCUACAGUCGAUUCUCAUUAUUCAUGGUAAUUAUGUUCUAUAAAGUUGCCACAUACACUAAAGUAGCAAAUACUGAACCAUUGCUCCUAGGGGAAAUACAGGGAAGGGUUCCUGCAAGUUUCUGGUCACAUUUUCACUGACUGAUCAAUAUAUAACUUUGUUUCAUGUGUGUUUCUGUUUUAAAAGACCUUGGUUACUAUAUAUUGUUGAUUCAUUAACACUAAACUCACAGCCAACAGCACUAUAACUCAUCCCUGAACAAAGCUUACAUAACACAUGUAUUUUCUCUGAAAGGCACAUCCCAGCCUUCUUGCCCUUAGGAGCACUAGAUAACACUUCAGCACUAUGCUUGAGGGGGAUUUUAAACAGUUAAAUCACUGGAAAAGGGCAGAACAAUAUGAAAAAUAUGGCACUAAAUAAACUGCAGAAAGGACACUCAUGUUUACUAUAUGAGAACUAAAACAAGAAAACAAAACAUUGCUUUGCUGGAACUCAGCUGGGAACAUGGGUGUAUGUUAGUCAACUCAAAUUUUUUGCUACUCUGCACGUGUUUGCCAAUGACCGUGAAUGCACGGUGAGUAUUGAUGUGGGAGAUCACAAAUAAAUUUUAGGAAGUAGACAAAUUCACAAAUAUGAAAUCCACAAAUAAUGAGGACCAACUGUAUUUAUGGAUAAAAUUAUAAAACCUUAUAAGGGGACCAAAGGAAAAAAAAAAAGACCUAAGUAAAUGGAGAUAGAAUAUGGUCAUGAAUAGGGAGACUCAGAAUUAUAAAGAUAUUAAUUUUACUACAAAUUAAUUCCAUCAAAAUCCCAAGGAGUAUUUUUUUUUUUAAUUUUUUUUUCAACGUUUUUUAUUUUGGGGACAGAGAGAGACAGAGCAUGAACGGGGGAGAGGCAGAGAGAGAGGGAGACACAGAAUCGGAAACAGGCUCCAGGCUCCGAGCCAUCAGCCCAGAGCCCGACGCGGGGCUCGAACUCACGGACCGCGAGAUCGUGACCUGGCUGAUGUCGGACGCUUAACCGACUGCGCCACCCAGACGCCCCAUCAAGGAGUAUUUUUAAAGAACAUGACAAGCUGAUCCUAAAAUUCAAAGAGAAAAGGAAAGAACCAAGAAUCACUAACAUAAUUUUGAAAACUAAGGUGUAGAGACUUAUUCUAUAAUAUAUUAGAAUAGUUAUAUUAAUUAAGAUAUACAGGUCUAGACAGAUAGAACAGGAGAGCAGAAAAAAGAGACCAGAACCGACAAACACUUACAUAGAAAUGUUGUUUGUGUCUGAGAUGGUAUUACAAAUCAAUGAAGAAGGAUUAAUUAUUCAGAAAACAUGAUCAAGACCAAUAAGUUAUCCAAGUAGGAAAAAAGAUAGCUUCCUACUUUACAUCAUAUCAAAAAUGAAUUGGAAAAAAAAAUGAAAGAUCCAAAUGUAAAAAGUAAAUAGUCAAAACAUUUGGAGGGGCGCCUGGGUGACUCAGUCAGUUAAAUGUCAACUCUUGAUUUUCAGUUCAGGUCAUGAUCUCACAAUAGUAAGUUGAGCCCACAGCAGGCUCCUUGCUAGGUAUGGAGCCUGCUUAAGAUUCUCUCUCUCCCUCUGCCCCUCUCCCACUCACGGGCAUUCUCAUUCUCUCCCUCCCUCUCUCUCACUUUCUCUCUGCCUCUCUCAAUAAAUAAAUAAUGAAUAAGUAAAUAAUCAAUCAUUGGGGAAAAAAUAGAGAAGAUAAUUAAUGAUUUCCAGGAAGGAACAGAUCCAUUUAGUAGGACAGAAAAAAGCACAAACCAUAAAGGAAAAGAUAAAUAAAUUUGACAUUAAAUUUUUAAAACUUCUGUUCAAAAAAAGACACCAAAGUUAAAAUGCAAUCUAUGAAGCUGAGAGAAAGUAUUUGCAAUGCACAUAAUGAAUAAAAAGUUAAUAUGCAAGAUUUGUAUACAAAUCCUAUAAAUGAAUAGGAAAAGGACAAAAAUCGAUUAGAGAAAUAGACAAAGAACAUGAAUGUACAAAAAAUACUCAACAGCAUUAGUAAUCAAAGAAAUGCAAAACUUAUUUUUUUUUAUUUUUUUAAUGUUUAUUUUUGAGACAGAGCAUGAGCGGGGAAGGGGCAGAGAGAGGGAGACACAGAAUCCAAAGCAGGCUCCAGGCUCCGAGCUGUCAGCACAGAGCCUGAUGAGGGGCUCGAACUCACGGAUCAUGAGAUCAUGACCUGAGCCAAAAUCAAGAGUCGGACUCUAAACUGACUGAGCUACCAAAGUGCCCCAAAAUGCAAAACUUUUAAAAUUGCAUUUCAUACUCAUUAGAUUGCCAAAAAUUAUCAUACUUCCUAGUCUGAUAAUCCCACACUUUGGUAAGAAUUUGAAGGAACAAGAACUUCCAACAAUUCUGAUGGAAACUGAAUUGUAAGAAACACAUUAAAAAAAAAAAAACAAUUUGUCAAUACCUACUAAAGUCAAAGUUGUGUGCAUCCUUAUACUCUGCAAUUCAUCCUCCAGGUAGAACCUUGGAGACACUUCUUCACGUGUGCAUAAGAUGACAUGUACAAGAACGUGCAGUAGAGCAUGAUCUGUAACAGCAAAAAUCUGUUUCUACCUACAUGUUCAUCAACAGCAGAUUUGAUUAAGUAUGGUUACAGUCACAUAAUAAAGUAUAUAGGCACUAAAAUGGAUAUAUCAAAAAACUAAGACACAGAAGGGUGUAUAAAAAUUUCAUUUAUAACAGUUUAAAACAGGGGCACGUGGGUGGCUCCGUCAGUUAGGUGUCUGACUCUUGAUUUCAGCUCAGGUCAGGAUCUCACGGUUCAUGGGAUGUAACCCCAUAUCAGCCUCCAUGCUGUUGGUGUAGAGCCUGCCUGGGAUUCUGUUUCUCUCCUCUCUCUGCUCCUUCUCCCGGUCUCACUGUCUCUCUCUCUCAAACUAAAUAAAUACGCAUUUUUUUAAGUUUAAAACAAAGCAAUAUUAUAUAUUAUUUAUUGAUAUAUACAUAUAUCAUAAUUGUAUGAAACAUUCAUGGGAAAGAUUUAGAACAGUAAUUUUUUCUGGGGGAGGGAACAGUAUCACAGAGGUCUAGUCAAUGGUAUCUACAAUUCAUUAUUAUCUUUUUAAUCUAUAGAAGGUUAAAAGUUGAUACAAGACAGACUAGGUGAGUGUUUGUUGUCAUGUCUUAUAUAAUUUUUUGGGUGCUGGCAAUAUUUAAUUUAAACAGAAAAUGUUAAAGCCUGUUGAAGUUGGAAGAACUUGGUGUCAGGUUAAGUCCUAAAUUCAGCACUUGCUGUUGAAAUUUAGAGCCUGCCAUCAAGUUCUAUAAAUAAGAUAAUAGAAUGUAGGAAUUACACUUAAUCCUCUAAUUACUCUCAGCUUUAAUCAAGCCUUUAUUAACAUAAUGUGUCUAGCUCGGGGUCUUAAAACCUGAGAGGGGAUUUAGGGAAGAGUAAUCAAAACAAUGAAAAAUAAGUAGGUGAUAUAAGGAAAGGCAAAGAGAACUGGGAUGAUUUAGACCAGUGAAAGAAAGCAAAGGGGGAAAUAUACUGAGGAAGAUGCACAGUUUGCUCCUUUUACACUGUCUGUGCCUCAAUUAAGGCUGAAUAAAAUUAGCUGUUUUGGUUAUCUACUGCUAUGUAGCAAAUCACUCUAAAACAUAGUGUUUUAAGCAAUGAUAAUUCAUUAUUUUGCUCCUGAAUCUCUAAUUUGACCAGGACUUCAGUGAAGAUGGUUCUUUGUGGCUCAGUGUGGCAUCAGCUGUAACAGCUCACCCCAGGUGAUCCAUUUGCACAAUGCUCCACUCGCAUGCUGGCAAGUUGGUGCCGGCUAUUGGCUGGAGCUACACUGGGACCACUGGCAAUGAUCUUCAGUUCUUCUCCUUUGUGGACCUCUCUAUGGGUUUCUUGGAUUUCCUCACACCAUGACGUCUGGAUUCCAAGAGCGAGAUUCCUAUGGGGGCAGGGCACUGCGUUUUUCUAUCCUGUCCUAAGAAGUCACAUAGUCACUUUCACCAAACUCUAUUAGUCCAAAAAGUCAUAGAGACUCACCUAGUUUCAAAGGUUAGGGGUGGGGAACUAGCGAAGAGGAAUGUGCACUCCACCUCUUGAUGGGGGCAUGGCAUGAUUAUAGAAGAAGUCUGGGUGGGAAGAUAUUGUUGUUUCCAUGUUUGUAAAAUACAAUGUGCCACACUGACGUACUUGCUCAAAUCUCUCUCUGGCUCAGUCUCUUAUUCUCACUGCUCCCGUUGAGAUCUUAUCAUGCCAUUCUCUUGUUCAGCAAUAAGGGACAUUGUUCUCCACUCUUCACACACCAGAUUUGUUCUGUGGAGCUGCAAGGCUUCAUGGAGUCUUGCAAUGUGUAAUAUUUUAUGUAAUAAUUUACAUGAUAUGUAUGGAAUAAUUUAUGGAGGGACCGUGAAACAUUCACUUCUGUGACCAAAACUUAGGAAAGGCUGACCAAAAAUAUUGAUGCUUCAGAUGCUUUUCUACUUGAGGUUAGCUAAAAUAACAUGACAGGACAUUCAUAUUUCAUGUAACCUGGUGUCAAGCCCAUGUGCAGACGUAUCAGCAACCCUGGUGAAUUUGGAGGAAUUUGCACAGCAGUAUUUCUGCCACAUUCAAGACAUUCAAGCAGAAUGUAACUCAUCAAUCAAAUCAGAUUUUAAAAUAUUUUUUAGCCUAAAGAAAGACAAGAUAGGCCUUGGAAAGUUUUUCUUUAAAGUACUCUAAGGUGUUUGACCUGGGUUUUUUCAGCACAACAGUCAAAAGCGGUAUUUGUCAAUUCAAAGAUCUGAUAGUUGGUCACACCAUUAGGCUUCCAUUUUCACUCAUCCACCAAAUGAAUACAUUGUUUUGUUUUUUUGCUAAACUCAGAAAAUUACCUACCACUUUACACCAGAAGUCCUACCACUUCUUUCUUAUGAAACUGUUAAAUAUGCUCCCUGAAUGGAUAUCAGCUAGACCUGGCUGACAUGUGAGACUAGUUUGCCCUAGGGACAGAUAGGACUGAGAGGGUUCUUGGGCUCUGCCUCUAUUAGGUUGGACAUAAUAAGUUGCUGAGAAUCAACCAGUUUUGUCCAACAAAAAAAAUGGGAAUUUCAAAUGGCUGUAUAUAUAUGCAUUGUUCAGAGUGAAAAAUUUCGUUGCAAAACCCAAGUCAGGGAUUUGAUUCAAGGCCAGUCUAGAAUGAGCCCUAACUAAAGAUUCAAAUGGUUUUUCCAUGUACAUAAUGUUUUUAUGUAAAAUCCCAGGAAAGUAGUAUCACUAACUGUUGAGUGAGUCAACCACUUCAGUUCUUCAGCAAACAACUAAGAAACGCCUGCUUAUCUGGGCUUUUAGCUGCUAUGCAAAUUAGUCAAUAACAUUUAAAUAGGACAGUCUUUAAGAAGACAUGUGAUAUUACUGGAUAAAGCUGUUGUGGAUUUUUUAAUGGACCAAAUUUCACUGGAACGGUUGAAGAUUUUUGUUUUCUAAACUGUGAGGUAGACAAACUAAUCUCAAUUUACCCCAGAAGUUAGAAGUAAUGAGAAGAAUCCUUAAGCAGUACUUAAUAAGUACUUAAUACUAUAAUUAUGAUCCAUAAAAUAGAUAUCCACAAAAACAUGACCAAAAUGAUUGGGAAUUAUGAUCAGUAUAACAUAAUAAUAAGGCUGUGGCAGAGUUUACAAGGUAACCACCUAUUUGAAUUGUCACCAAAAAACCCCACCAUAUGCUAAGAAAAUUAAAAUCAAAGAGACAUAUGAUUUAAAAGCACAUUAACUUCAUUUGAUAAUCUUUGGGAAUAAACAUAGGCUUGGGAGACCUUUGUGAGUGUUUCUGGGGAGUACGAAGUAUACUGCAAUGGUUAAAUAUUUCUGAUUGCUUUUGAAUUUCUCCUGUCUUUAUAAAGCCUCAACUGUACUAGGUGUGCUCCAAGUUGUGGGUUUAACAAUGAAAGGAUAAAAUUGUGCAUUGCACUACCCUGAGCUUCUCUUCUGAGUAUAGUCAGUAGCUGACAGCAUGCAGUCUGGAUAUGUGAAAAAGACGAGCCAUUUUCUACACCCAGCCAUGCAGUUCCAUCCCAAAAUUCUUCUCUCCAAGCACAACCCUUGGUCCGGAGACAGAAAUAUGAGGACAAAUUCAAAACUUCAUAUUUUUUUCACAUGUAGUGACAAGAACCCCACAAUCACUGUCCCACCACAUUUGAAUCUGUACUGUUCAUAUUUCUUUGAAUUCCUCAAAACUUAGAUAAAGGACGCCUUACAUGAUCUUUAAGUAACACAUUUAGCAGCAUUUCUGAAAAUAUGUUCCAUAGAGGUCUAGCUCUACAACAUGUUAAUAAAAUGAUUAUGACAUAAAAGAGUUUCAUGUCAAUGCUGGGUUAAGCAAAUUUAUUUAUUUAUGGUAAUUCCUAUCAGAGUUUUUUAUAUACCAACAUAUAUUAUAAAUCUUCUAGGGUAUAUAUAGCAUGUUGUAUAUAGCAUUCCAAACUUGUUUCAGUCAUGGAGACCAUUUUGCAAAAAUAUCUCAACAACCAAAACAAUAUCUUGUGAAACUUGGAUCUAAGCCAUUUCUUACAAUAUUUUUUUGAUACCAAUGUUAACUAUAGGUUCCUUACUGAUAAAAUUCCUUUCCAGGGUUCUUAUUUAUCUCCUUCUAAAUCUACUAACGUCUAAAUAUUUGUUUGGGAGUUUAUUUAUUCAAUGAAUACGUAUUAAAUGCCUACUAUAUUCAAACCACUAUUAUGGGCUUUGGAGACACAGAAAUGAGAAAUUUUUUGAGAGUACAAGUGGGGGGCGGGCAGAGAGAGGGGGACAGAGGAUCUGAAGUGGACUCUGAGUAGACAGGCUGACAGCAGCAAGCCCAAUGUGGGGUUCAAACUCACGAACUGCAAGAUCAUGACCUGAGCCUAAGUUGGAUGCUCAACGAACUUAGCCACCCAAGUGUCCCAGAAAUGAGCAAUUUGUAAAAUUUCCCUUUCCUUAUAGAACUUAAAUUCUAAAGGAGAUGUCAAUUUACACAUAAAUAAAAUUUCAAGAUUGCAGAUAUGGAUAACUGCUAAUGAAAAAAAUAAAAACAAGAUAAUGAACUAGAGAGUUUCUUGGUGGUAACUAGAGUGUUCGUGGCAUUUCAUAAAAGCAAUCAGCAUGAUUUCUUUGAGAAGGUAGCAUUAGAACUAAAGGAAUAUAAAAUGAGCCUUUCCCUUUACUAAUCUUUCAUCCUCUGUAUUACUUUUAAUCAAAAUAAUACUUGUACAUGGUAAAAAAAAUAAAAAUAUAAUGAACAGUUUAUAAUAAGAAAUAACUGCUGCUCUGACACUCUGCAUCUUAGCUCUAAUUCCAGAAGCAUCCUCUUUUAAUAGUUUAUUAUGUGAGAUUUUCUCGCGAUCACCAUUACAUGGAACCCAUAGGUGGAGUUUGACAGAGCAACAAGAUGGAAAGAUCAUGGGUUUCUCAAUGAUCUUGAGACUAUUGGAUCAGCCCUAAAGUUCCUUCUUCCAUGCAAGAGAGAAAUAAAUCUAUCUUCCUUAAACCUCUGAUAUUUAUCUAUUACUUGUAACCAAACCCCAUAUGAUACAGGAUCCAGUAUUAUCCCAGGCAACUCAAGGGAAAACAUUCAUAACACGCAAGUCAAAUGCAUUACAUUCUUCUAUUUCUACAGAGAUAGAAUCAUGCUACAUUUUAGUGUGCUUCCUAUUUGGGUUGUGACUUUCCUGUUUUUGUUUGUUGGUUGGUUGGUUUCCCCUUUUCUAAUUCUCUUUUCUGUUUUCUUAAAAGAGAAUAGAUGUGCCUGCUUCACCUGGUCAUUCAUGACAUCAGCUCUUAACCCAUUCUAAUCUUUAAAAUGUGUCUCUUCUACUUGAGUCAUCCUUCCAGGGCGAUUCAGAAGCUUCCAGCCAAACUGUCAUGCUGCAAUGUCUUUUCCCUAGACUCUUGGUUUAAUGCCACAGUUUCUUUUAUGACCAUUUUUCUCUUUCAUGGAUAUUUACCCUCAUUUUUCUAGAGUACACCAUAAUUUUCUAAGCAAGAAGAGUGCCUGGAAGUAAAUGUUCCAGGCCCCUAGAUGUUUGAAGAAGUCUGUUUUCUCUUCAUACUUUGAUUGGUUCUAAUUUUUUUUUUUCUCAGAACAUUGCAGGCUUUGUAUUGCUCUAUUGUCUUCAAGACCCCAUACAUUUGGGAUUGCCACCUGUCAGCCUUAUUCCUCUUCCUUUGUUUUUGACCUAUAUUUUCUUUCUGGAAGCUUCUCGGACAUACUGGUUAUUUCUGAUAUCUGAAGUGUCAUGAUGCUAUGUUUAGACAGGUAGUUCUUUUUGCAAUCAUCUCAACAUUGGGUGGGAUCUUUCUUUCUUUCUUUUUUUUUUUUUUUUUUUUUUUUUUUUUUUAGGGCAGAGAGAGAAAGAGAAAAUUCCAAUCAGGCUCCACGCUGUCAGCAUAGAGCCUGAGGUGGGGCUCAAACUCAAGAACCACGAGAUCAUGACCUGAGCUGAGAUCAAGGGUCAGACGCUUAGCCAACUGAGCCACCCAGGUGCCCCUGGGUGGGAUUCUUCAAGACCAAAUAUUCAGCUCUGGAUAUUUUUCUUCUAAUGUUUGGUUAAUUUCCUUCCCUCUGUUCUGUCUUUCAAAAACACCCAUUAGUUAAGGUUAAAUAACUAGACAGAUGCACUGUAUUUGCUAACUCUGAACUGAAGUUCCUUUAGAGUUUUUCCUGGCAAGUCAGUUCUUUCCAUUGUCACAGUCCCUGCUUAAGUGUCCUGGGUUGGUAUUUUCUCAAUUAAAAAAAGAAAAAGGGGGUACCUGGAUGGCUCAACCAGUUAAGCCAACUCCUGAUUUCUGCUCAGGUCAUAUUCCCAGGGUUGUGGGAUUGAGCCCUGUGUCGGGCUCUGCACUGGGCAUGGCGCCUGCUUAAGAUUCUCUCUCUCCCUCUCUCCCUCUCUCUCUGCUCCUCUCUCUCUCAAAAAGAAAAAAGGAAAAGAAAAAAAAAGCCAUCAACAGCCUUCUAUUCUCCUUUCAUCUUUUAGAAAUUUGUUGAAAUAACUCAUCUACAGAUGGCAUCCCUCCUUUUCUUUUGGUUUAUUCUUUUGUGUUUACUAUAUUUUAUUUUCAGACCUGUGUGUUCAGUCUGCCAUCUUGCUAGAAAACUUGAAGUUUACCUUGGGUAACACAGUUGAAAUUAAACUGCUACACCAUACUCUCAGCAGUACUAUUUUUAAAUAUAAGAAUAUGUUGUACAACGUAAGUAACACCAAAGCACAAGUUUAAGUAUUCAAGUAUUUUAUCACUAUAAAACAGGAUACAAAGGGCAAAAUACACCCAGGUUUUCUUUUCUUUGAAAAAAAACUGAACAGAGUGCUAUUCUUCUUCUUCUGUUGUUAUUUUUCAUUUUCAUGUAGAAUGCAGCUCUUGAUAUAUAGCUUUAAAAACAUUUUUUUUUCAUUUAGGUGAUAUCAUAAAAGCUUCUCUGUACAAAAACUUAAAUGAUUUUCAGUAGCAAUUUUCCCUGUGUCCUUGGACCAAUUUCUGAUUCUUUUAAGACAUGUUACCCACUGCGAUAUUAACGUAUUACUAUAAGAGUUGCAACAGCAGGAGACAGCUUUUUUCUUCCUCAGGAGACAUAGAAGGGAUGUGUGCCUACACUUUGUAUGAGAAUUUUCUUGACAUCUAACUUAUACUUUUGGCAGCAUAAGUGCUCUAUAGUAACACUUCUCCACUUUAGCAAGCUUCUUCUGAUGAACUCAAGGAUAUGUAGGCAAAACAUAUUUCUCUAUAACUCUCAUAACUAGUUGUUUAUAGAUAACUGAAAUAUAUUUAUUCAAUAAAUAUUAGAGCUGAACACCAUAUUUUGUCCAGGGAUACCACAGUAAGUAAGACAUCACGCCCUUCAGGAACUAUUGUGUUUAAUGAAGAAAUACAAUUAAGUAAACAGUAAAUUUCAAAAAAAAAAAGUCACCAUUGCUAUUGUAGAGUAACCAUAAGAUGCCAUUAAAGCAUAUAAAUGGAACAGUGAACCCCAUGGAGGCAGAGGGGGAAUCUAGGUGAUAGAUAGCUUCCUGAGGAGGUGACUCCUGAGCUGAGUGAUCCUCAAAGGACCAGCACAAAUUAGCAAAGGGAAGGAAGUUGAGAUAGAUGGGAUAAAAGGAACAUUCCAGGUGUUCAGAACAAUGCGUGUGAAGGCCAGGAGCAGUGAGCAACAAGCAAAGAUGGUAAGAAAUGGAACUGGAGAAGGAAGCAAAGACUAGAUUCAAAACUAUUUCCAGUAUUCCAUAUCUAAGAAUGUGGACUUCCUUCUGAAACAAGCAUUAAAAAAAACUAUGCUCAGUAUAGAAGCAAAUCCUUCAUUCUCGCUUUGAGCAAGUUCUGAUUUUUUUUUCAUAGGUGAAAUAAUAAUGUCACAAACUUCCAUUACAGGUUCACUGCGUGCAAGAUACUGUACUUGGCCGGUAGGAGGUAAUAGCAUUCAGCCUCAGGAAUCAGUGUGAAAACAGAGCAGAAUAUUUGGAACUGCUGUGUAUCCUGGUAAGAAGGGAACCUGAGUAGCAGGAGUGCUGGGUGGC
rnacentral:lncRNA from 1 species